ACGCACGCUGGCGGCGUGCUUAACACAUGCAAGUCGCACGGAAAGGCCCUGCUUUUGUGGGGUGCUCGAGUGGCGAACGGGUGAGUAACACGUGAGUAACCUGCCCUUGACUUUGGGAUAACUUCAGGAAACUGGGGCUAAUACCGGAUAGGAGCUCCUGCUGCAUGGUGGGGGUUGGAAAGUUUCGGCGGUUGGGGAUGGACUCGCGGCUUAUCAGCUUGUUGGUGGGGUAGUGGCUUACCAAGGCUUUGACGGGUAGCCGGCCUGAGAGGGUGACCGGCCACAUUGGGACUGAGAUACGGCCCAGACUCCUACGGGAGGCAGGAGUGGGGAAUAUUGCACAAUGGGCGGAAGCCUGAUGCAGCAACGCCGCGUGCGGGAUGACGGCCUUCGGGUUGUAAACCGCUUUCGCCUGUGACGAAGCGUGAGUGACGGUAAUGGGUAAAGAAGCACCGGCUAACUACGUG
rnacentral:rRNA from 1 species